UACGAAGGGUGCAAACGUUGCUCGGAAUUAUUGGGCGUAAGGCGCACGUAGGCGGCUCCAAAAGUCGGAUGUGAAAUCCCUCGGCUCAACCAAGGAAGUGCACCCGAAACUGCGGAGCUUGAGUAUGGAAGAGGGUCGCGGAAUUCCCGGUGUAGAGGUGAAAUUCGUAGAUAUCGGGAGGAACACCAGUGGCGAAGGCGGCGACCUGGGCCAAUACUGACGCUGAGGUGCGAAAGCGUGGGGAGCAAACAGG
rnacentral:rRNA from 1 species